rnacentral:miRNA from 1 species
AUUAGGUAGUGGCAGUGGAAC